rnacentral:tRNA from 1 species
GACGAGGUGGCCGAGAGGUGAAGGCGACGGACUGCUAAUCUGUUGUGCUCUGCACAUGUGGGUUCGAAUCCCAUCCUCGUCG